GACGAACGCUGGCGGCGUGCUUAACACAUGCAAGUCGAACGGAAAGGCCCUGCUUUUGUGGGGUGCUCGAGUGGCGAACGGGUGAGUAACACGUGAGUAACCUGCCCUUGACUUUGGGAUAACUUCAGGAAACUGGGGCUAAUACCGGAUAGGAGCUCCUGCUGCAUGGUGGGGGUUGGAAAGUUUCGGCGGUUGGGGAUGGACCCGCGGCUUAUCAGCUUGUUGGUGGGGUAGUGGCUUACCAAGGCUUUGACGGGUAGCCGGCCUGAGAGGGUGACCGGCCACAUUGGGACUGAGAUACGGCCCAGACUCCUACGGGAGGCGGCAGUGGGGAAUAUUGCACAAUGGGCGGAAGCCUGAUGCAGCAACGCCGCGUGCGGGAUGACGGCCUUCGGGUUGUAAACCGCUUUCGCCUGUGACGAAGCGUGAGUGACGGUAAUGGGUAAAGAAGCACCAGCUAACUACGUG
rnacentral:rRNA from 1 species